AUCCAAAGAAAAACAAAAGAGAGUCUCUUCCAAAAAUGGCAAUUAGGGUUUCCCACAAGUCUCUCCUCCUGGCACUUCUUCUCAUCUUCUUCAUUUGUUCUCCUGCUCAAGUUUGUUUUGGAAUUGAAGCACGAAACAUAGGAGGAAUCAUGAGGAAGAGAACACUAAUGGUUGUGGAGAAGGAUCAAGAGAGUCGGAACUCAUGGCAAUACGGAGGAGGAAGUGAUGGUGAUGGAUUGGUUGACAUGGAUUAUAAUAGUGCGAACAAGAAAAGACCGAUACAUAAUCGCAAAUAAACACAUAUGAUGACGAGCUUAUCAAUUUCUUGUGAGAUAUCCAGAGGUUCUAAGAUAUCCCGAGAUUUAUGUGAUAUAUUCAAAAGAAAUUACUUUAAGUAUUGAAAUAAUCGUAAACUAUGUUAUAUAUGAACAUAAGUAUAAUCGAGGUUGUAUGCCCUACAUAUGUGUACAGCCUUGUCUCGAUAAAAAGAGUUUUAUGUAAUACUCAUAGUUUGUGUGUGUUUAUGUAUGGAUUGCAUCGUGAGUUUCUGUUUGCGAUUAAAUGUCAUCAAUAGAUAUUUGUAUGUGUAUAUACUCUAACAUCUUCUUUUAAGUUUA